GUUUGUGUUUACCCUCAUGGAUUUUGUCUUUUUUGCAUUUAUGUAUAGUCCUACUUGUUUUGCAGUUGUUUCAAGGUUGGCUGCUUGCUUUUGUGAAUCUUCAUGGCGAUGGGAAAGCUGACAGAUAUCGUCUGCAAAGUCCAGGUCUUCAAGGCAUGACUGUAAUGUCCAUUUAAUACCCAAAGGAGUAUUGUACGAUUUCCGACUCACCCAAUCUAUCACUAUUAGAAAAAGGAGAGGGGAAAGUAAACAUCCUUGUCUGACACCGG
rnacentral:lncRNA from 1 species